GUCGAGCGGCAGCGCGGGGCAACCUGGCGGCGAGCGGCGAACGGGUGAGUAAUACAUCGGAACGUGCCCAGACGUGGGGGAUAACUACUCGAAAGAGUAGCUAAUACCGCAUACGAUCUGAGGAUGAAAGCGGGGGAUCGCAAGACCUCGCGCGUCUGGAGCGGCCGAUGGCAGAUUAGGUAGUUGGUGAGGUAAAGGCUUACCAAGCCUGCGAUCUGUAGCUGGUCUGAGAGGAUGAUCAGCCACACUGGGACUGAGACACGGCCCAGACUCCUACGGGAGGCAGCAGUGGGGAAUUUUGGGACAAUGGGCGAAAGCCUGAUCAGCCAUUCCGCGUGCAGGAUGAAGGCCCUCGGGUGUAAACUGCUUUUGUACGGAACGAAAAAACUCCGGCUAAUACCUGGAGUCCAUGACGGUACCGUAAGAAUAAGCACCGGCUAACUACGUGCCAGCAGCCGCGU
rnacentral:rRNA from 1 species